rnacentral:rRNA from 1 species
CGUGUAGGCGGCCAGGUAGGUCCGUUGUGAAAACUCGAGGCUCAACCUCGAGACGCCGGCGGAAACCCUUUGGCUAGAGUCCGGAAGAGGAGAGUGGAAUUCCUGGUGUAGCGGUGAAAUGCGCAGAUAUCAGGAAGAACACCCGUGGCGAAGGCGGCUCUCUGGGACGGUACUGACGCUGAGACGCGAAAGCGUGGGGAGCAAACA